rnacentral:rRNA from 1 species
GACGAACGCUGGCGGCGUGCUUAACACAUGCAAGUCGAGCGGUAAGGCCCUUUCGGGGUACGACGAGCGGCGAACGGGUGAGUAACACGUGGGUGACCUGCCCUCCAGCUCUGGGAGUAAGCCUGGGAAACCGGGUACUAAUACCGGAUAUGACUCCAUGACGCAUGUUGUGGGGUGGAAAGCCUUGUGCGGCUGAGGAUGGGCCCGCGGCCUAUCAGCUUGUUGGUGGGGUGAUGGCCUACCAAGGCGACGACGGGUAGCCGGCCUGAGAGGGCGACCGGCCACACUGGGACUGAGACACGGCCCAGACUCCUACGGGAGGCAGCAGUGGGGAAUCUUGCGCAAUGGGCGAAAGCCUGACGCAGCGACGCCGCGUGAGGGAUGAC